UAAUACGUAGGGUGCGAGCGUUAAUCGGAAUUACUGGGCGUAAAGCGUGCGCAGGCGGUUUUGUAAGACAGAGGUGAAAUCCCCGGGCUCAACCUGGGAACUGCCUUUGUGACUGCAAGGCUGGAGUGCGGCAGAGGGGGAUGGAAUUCCGCGUGUAGCAGUGAAAUGCGUAGAUAUGCGGAGGAACACCGAUGGCGAAGGCAAUCCCCUGGGCCUGCACUGACGCUCAUGCACGAAAGCGUGGGGAGCAAACAGGAUUAGAUACCCUGGUAGUCCACGCCCUAAACGAUGUCAACUGGUUGUUGGGGAUUAAUUUUCUCAGUAACGAAGCUAACGCGUGAAGUUGACCGCCUGGGGAGUACGGCCGCAAGGUUGAAACUCAAAUGAAUUGACGG
rnacentral:rRNA from 1 species